AACGGCGGCCGUAACUAUAACGGUCCUAAGGUAGCGAAAUUCCUUGUCGGGUAAGUUCCGACCUGCACGAAUGGCGUAAUGAUGGCCAGGCUGUCUCCACCCGAGACUCAGUGAAAUUGAACUCGCUGUGAAGAUGCAGUGUACCCGCGGCAAGACGGAAAGACCCCGUGAACCUUUACUAUAGCUUGACACUGAACAUUGAGCCUUGAUGUGUAGGAUAGGUGGGAGGCUUUGAAGUGUGGACGCCAGUCUGCAUGGAGCCGGCCUUGAAAUACCACCCUUUAAUGUUUGAUGUUCUAACGUGGACCCGUGAUCCGGGUUGCGGACAGUGUCUGGUGGGUAGUUUGACUGGGGCGGUCUCCUCCUAAAGAGUAACGGAGGAGCACGAAGGUUGGCUAAUCCUGGUCGGACAUCAGGAGGUUAGUGCAAUGGCAUAAGCCAGCUUGACUGCGAGCGUGACGGCGCGAGCAGGUGCGAAAGCAGGUCAUAGUGAUCCGGUGGUUCUGAAUGGAAGGGCCAUCGCUCAACGGAUAAAAGGUACUCCGGGGAUAACAGGCUGAUACCGCCCAAGAGUUCAUAUCGACGGCGGUGUUUGGCACCUCGAUGUCGGCUCAUCACAUCCUGGGGCUGAAGUAGGUCCCAAGGGUAUGGCUGUUCGCCAUUUAAAGUGGUACGCGAGCUGGGUUUAGAACGUCGUGAGACAGUUCGGUCCCUAUCUGCCGUGGGCGCUGGAGAACUGAGGGGGGCUGCUCCUAGUACGAGAGGACCGGAGUGGACGCAUCACUGGUGUUCGGGUUGUCAUGCCAAUGGCACUGCCCGGUAGCUAAAUGCGGAAGAGAUAAGUGCUGAAAGCAUCUAAGCACGAAACUUGCCCCGAGAUGAGUUCUCCCUGACCCUUUAAGGGUCCUGAAGGAACGUUGAAGACGACGACGUUGAUAGGCCGGGUGUGUAAGCGCAGCGAUGCGUUGAGCUAACCGGUACUAAUGAACCGUGAGGCUUAACCUU
rnacentral:rRNA from 1 species